rnacentral:rRNA from 1 species
GAUGAACGCUAGCGACAGGCUUAACACAUGCAAGUCGAGGGGCAUCGGGACGUAGCAAUACGUUGCCGGCGACCGGCGGAUGGGUGAGUAACGCGUAUGCAACCUGCCCACGACAGGGGGACAGCCCGUUGAAAGACGGAUUAAUACCCCAUAAAACAGGGGUUCCGCAUGGGACUAUUUGUUAAAGGGUUUUCCGCGAGGGGGAUCCGGUUGUGGAUGGGCAUGCGUUCCAUUAGGCAGUUGGUGAGGUAACGGCUCACCAAACCGACGAUGGAUAGGGGAACCGGGAGGUUGGUCCCCCACACUGGUACUGAGAUACGGACCAGACUCCUACGGGAGGCAGCAGUGAGGAAUUUUGGUCAAUGGACGGAAGUCUGAACCAGCCAAGUCGCGUGAAGGAAGGCGGCCUAAGGGUUGUAAACUUCUUUUGUAAGGGAAUAAAGGCCGGUACGCGUUACCGGUUUGCAGGUACCUUACGAAUAAGGAUCGGCUAACUCCGUG